rnacentral:rRNA from 1 species
AUGGGGGCGGCAGAGCUGACCAUCUCUGAGCUGCAGAAAUUGAUCCAAGCGACGGUGAUUCAGAGCAAGGCCGUCUCCGACGCGGGGGUCCGCAACUCCAAGCGGAUCGACGAGCUCCGCACCACGGUCGACUCCUUCUCUGAAUCGACCACCAAGGCUCUCUCCGAUCUCACCAGCUCCACGGCGACGGCGACCCAGCGUGUCGAGACUACGCUGGACCGCAUAAUCACGGCCCACAACAAGCUCGACAAGACAGCCGACGAGUUGAAGUUGUCGAUGGAGGCGGUGGCGCGCCGCGUCGAUUUCCUCGAGCGGGGGCAGCCUCCUUCCACGACCCCGGCGCAGCCGCAUCAGCGACCGGGUGUGCUUCGGCCCCAUGGGCACCGUGAAGAACUGCAUCACCAGGGUGCUGUUUCUGGAGAGAUUCGAACCUCCGGACACGCCCUGGUCGGGGGUGAGCAAUCGCAAACCCGUGACCACCUUACUUCUGCUAUGUAUGGUUCAGCAGAGAGAGAUGACGAUCGUACCACUGCAUAUCCGCAUCAGCCCUACAGUCAUAGUGGUCCGCGGUUGCCCAAAUCAGAUUUCCCAAAAUUCACUGGUGAUAAUCCCAAAUGGUGGAAGGAACAAUGCGAAAAGUAUUUUAAAAUGUACCAUGUUAAUCCUGAGUUGUGGGUGGAUUUUGCCACUAUGCAUUUCACCGGCAAUGCUUCCCUGUGGUUGCAAACUUUCGAAGCCAUGCAUUCAGUGGAUAGCUGGCCUGCCUUGUGUGUAGGAGUGUUUGCUAAGUUCAACAAAAAUCAGUAUGCUAAACUCAUGGACAUGUUUUUUGCAUUUCGGCAAGUUGCAUCAGUAGAUGAAUAUGCCCAUACAUUUGAAGAGUUCAUGCAUAAGAUUCUGGUUUACAAUCACUCCUAUGAUGAAACCUUCUUUGUGAACCGUUUCAUUGAUGGUCUUAAGCCAGACAUCAAGUCUGCUAUUAAAUUACACAAUCCUGGAACUGUUGAUCUGGCUUGUUCCCUUGCUCAAACACAGGAAGUGUUGUUGGUGGAAGAUACUCGUCCGUCCUUCAAGAAGGGGGAUUAUCGCCACAAAUUCAAGAUGAAUGCUCAGCUGCCAAGCAUUCUAGGAAACCCGGGUGAGAAGCGGACGGAUGACAGGAUCAAGUACAACACUAAGUUUGAUUCUCUCAAGGCCCAACGGCGUGCUCGUGGCGAAUGCUUUAAGUGCGGGGAAAAAUUCUCCCCAGGCCACAAGUGCCCCCCGCAGGUUCAGUUGCAUGUCCUUGAAGAACUGAUUACCUCUCUUGAUAUUUCUGAUGACGAAGAUGACAAUGGAUGGCCUGAAGAGCACACCCCUGACCCGGAUGAGGAUGACCAUGUCAUGAAGCUAUCUGUCCAUGCAGCAUGUGGGACACAGUGUAAGAAGAGUAUUCGGCUUCAGGGUUUCAUUGGCAAACAAGAAGUAUUGAUCCUGGUAGAUUCUGGAAGCUCCAGUAACUUCAUAAGCUCCAAAUUGGUUGACCGUUUACAGUGUACCACUGCUCCGUUUCCUGCUGCCAAAGUGACAGUUGCUGAUGGAGGAAGUCUUGACUGUAACAUGAUGGUGUCAUCUCUACAGUGGUGGACUCAAGGCACAUCAUUUACAUCCUCGCUGAAGGCACUUCCAUUAGGCACAUAUGACAUCAUCCUUGGUAUGGAGUGGCUUGAAGAGAUGAGCCCAAUGUGGGUAGAUUGGAAAAAGAAGACAUUACGGUUCACACAUAAUGGAGUUCGCAUCACUCUUCGAGGCAUUAAAGAUAAACCUGCCAGUUGCUCAGCUAUUUCUGCUAAACAGCUUCAGGGCUUGGUUAACAAUGGAGGUGUGGUGCAUAUGUUAGAAUUGUGUGCUGUGCAAGACGUAUUCGAGGCACCUGGCUCAUCCACCCCUCUACCACCAGCCAUUACCCGAGUUCUUUCUCAGCAUGAGGCUGUGUUUGAAGAUCCUCAGGUGUUGCCUCCUCACCGCAGUUUUGACCAUAACAUUCCACUGCUUCCAGGGGUGAAGCCUGUUAAUGUCAAGCCAUAUCGUUAUGCUCCUAUGCAGAAAACUGAGAUUGAGCGACAAGUGCGUGAAAUGCUCCAAAAGGGACUUAUACAGAAUAGCACUAGCUCAUUUGCAUCUCCGGUGUUGUUGGUGAAGAAGAAGGAUGGUUCAUGGCGUUUUUGUGUUGACUAUAGGCACCUCAAUAAUAUUACAGUUAAGAAUAAAUACCCAAUGCCAGUGAUCGAUGAGCUACUUGAUGAAUUGUCCGGUGCAAAUUGGUUUACCAAACUGGAUCUCAAAUCUGGGUACCAUCAAAUUCGGCUAGUGCUUGGUGAAGAACACAAGUCGGCUUUCAAAACACACCAAGGGUUGUAUGAAUUCAAGCACCAGUUGUAUAUUAAGAAGAGUAAAUGUUCCUUUGCCCAAAAACAACUUGAGUACUUGGGUCACAUCAUCAGUCACAAAGGGGUCGCUACUGACCCUUCGAAGAUCCAAGCUGUCGCUCAGUGGCCUACACCGACAACUAUCAAGCAAGUUAGGGGGUUUCUUGGGUUAACGGGUUAUUACCGCAAGUUCAUAAAACAUUAUGGGAUCAUCAGUCGAGUAUUGUCAGAUUUGCUCCGUAAAGAUACCAUGUUUUAUUGGACAAACAAAGAAGAUGAAGCUUUUCAACAUUUGAAAUCAGCUCUUACUCAAGCCCCUGUCUUGGCUCUACCAAAUUUCAAAUUGCCAUUUGUUGUCGAAACAGAUGCAAGCAAGUAUGGUAUUGGUGCUGUACUGAUGCAACAAGGGCAUCCGAUCAGUUUUCUCAGCAAGGCUUUGGGACCCAAGACGCAAGGCUACUCCACUUAUGAGAAGGAGUGUCUUGCUAUCUUGAUGGCGGUGGAGAAAUGGCGUUCAUACCUCCAGCACGCUGAAUUCACCAUUUCCACUGAUCACCGUAGCUUAACUUACUUGUCUGAGCAAAAGCUUACUACUGACAUCCAACAAAAGGCUUUUCUGAAAUUAAUGGGACUCCAGUACAAGUUGGUUUACAAAAAAGGCCAUGAAAAUGCUGCUGCUGAUGCUCUUUCCCGUCAAGCAAUUCCUGAAUCAUGUCAUGCAAUUUCUCUCUGUCAGCCCAAGUGGUUGGAAGUAAUUGUGGAUGGCUACACAAAAGAUGAUACAACUAAAAAGUUGUUACAGGAGUUGAGUUUCACUGGAUCUAACUCUGCUGGCUACACGUUGGUGAAUGGUAUUAUCAGGCAUAAGGGACGCGUCUGGCUCGGUUCUAACACUGAGGCACAUCAAGCUAUUCUGCUCUCCUUGCAUGCAAGUGGCAUUGGUGGUCACUCUGGGUUCUUAGCAACUUACAAGCGCAUUAGUGCUCUGUUUGCAUGGCCUGGUAUGAAGACUGAUGUAAAAACAUAUGUGCAAAAUUGUACCAUAUGUCAGCAAGCCAAAUCUGAAACUGUGAAGUUGCCAGGUCUUCUGAAUCCAUUACCCAUCCCAGAUGAACCUUGGAGUUUGGUGAGCAUGGAUUUUGUGGAGGGCCUUCCCAAGUCUGGCUCAUAUAAUACCAUAUUGGUGGUGAUUGACAAGUACACUAAGUUCGGUCACUUCAUCCCUCUGGCUCAUCCCUACUCUGCUCUUCAAGUUGCUCAACUCUUUUACAACCACAUCUAUAAGUUACAUGGUCUGCCGUCCGGCAUUAUAUCUGAUCGGGAUAAGGUAUUUACCAGCAAUGUUUGGCAAUCUUUGUUCAAGAUGACGGAUGUGAAGAUGAAUAUGAGUUCGGCACACCAUCCCCAAACUGAUGGUCAGACCGAAAAGCUUAAUCAAUGUCUUGAGACCUUUCUCAGGUGUACGGUUCAUGCUUCGCCGACCAAAUGGUCUCAAUGGUUGCCUUCGGCUGAACAUUGGUACAACACUAAUUUUCACUCAGCGCUGGGCAAGUCUCCAUUCGAGGUGUUAUAUGGCUAUAAACCACGACAAUUGGGCAUUGCUCAUAUUCCAGAAUCCACACCAUCUGAUCUGGCGGGUUGGCUACAAGAAAGAGAAAUGAUGCAAGAACUUGUUAAGCAACACCUACUUCGAGCUCAGCACCGCAUGAAGCAACAAGAAGAUAAACAUCGUUCUGAUCGGGUGUUUCAGGUGGGAGAUUUUGUUUAUCUCAAGCUUCAACCAUAUGCACAAAUGUCUGUUGCUCGUCGUGCAAAUCACAAGUUGUCCUUCAAAUUUUAUGGUCCCUAUGAGGUGCUCGCUCGCGUGGGAAAGUCAGCCUACAAAUUGAAGCUUCCAACAAAUAGUCGUAUUCAUCCGGUGGUGCACGUCUCCCAGCUGAAGCCCUCUCUACCGGCAAAUCAGGUGCCUUCUGAUGCUUCUUUGCAUCUGCUUACGGAUGUUCCAGUUUCUAUUCAGCCGGGGCAGAUUCUUGAUUCUCGUUUGGUGCGAGCUGGUAAUGGCGCUCGUGCACAAGUGCUCGUUCAUUGGGCUGGCCUCUCAUCUAAUCUGAACUCCUGGGAAGACAAGAACGCACUCCAGCACCGGUUUCCUUCUACAGCAGCAUGGGGGCAUGCUGUGUCUCAAGGAGGAGGGCAUGCUACGCACCUUCCAUGUGGGCCAGCCAAGACCAAGGCCUCUCCUAGAAGCUGA